rnacentral:rRNA from 1 species
UACGAAGGGGGCUAGCGUUGCUCGGAAUCACUGGGCGUAAAGGGCGCGUAGGCGGCCAUUCAAGUCAGAGGUGAAAGCCCAAGGCUCAACCUUGGAACUGCCUUUGAUACUGUUUGGCUUGAGACCGGUAGAGGUAAGUGGAACUGCGAGUGUAGAGGUGAAAUUCGUAGAUAUUCGGAAGAACACCAGUGGCGAAGGCGACUCGCUGGACAGACAUUGACGCUGAGGUGCGAAAGCGUGGGGAGCAAACAGG